rnacentral:lncRNA from 1 species
CUCCAGCACUCAGGAGAGAUGGCCCCACCCCUCACCACAGGUAUGGGAGAGCUGGACCCAAUGACAUAGGCCUAGGAGAGCUGGCUCUGCCCCUCACCAGAGGGGGAGGUUCCAGUAGCCUGGACCAACCAGCUGAGCUACUACCCAGAAACCACAUCCUGGUCCUUGGGUUGGCCCACCCUAACACCUACCCCAUUCAUAACCUGCUGGAGCUCAUGAAGAGACUGGUCCUGAAGAAUGUGCAGGAUAUCUGAGAGGAGUUUUAGUGAAUGUCCAGUGAUGAUGGUGUGCCAGAGGCUUUGAACCACCAGACCAGCGACUCAUUGCAAUGAACAUUUUCUGAGUGGGGCUGAGUAGAGGACAAAAGGGUAUACUGAGUGACACACUGCAGCUCCUGAUGCCGCUAGGAUGAAUGAAGAAGUGUUGGAAAGAUGGAGGAACAAGAGGUGAAAGGAGAAGACAGCUUCAGAUCAUAGUGAUGAAGGUUGAGGUGUGAGAUAAGCAAUCUCAUGACUGAGUCUUCUUCCCUUCAUGGUAUCUGUGGUAGUUUGAAUGGAAUUGGCCCCCAUAAUCUCAUAGGGAGUGGCACUAUUAGGAGGUGUGGCUUUGUUGGAGUGGGUGUGGCCUUGUUAGAGGAAGUAUGUCACUGUGGGGGGCGGGCUUUUGAGGUUUCCUACGCUCAGGAUACCGCCCAGUGUCUAAGUCGACUUCCUGUUGCCUGUAAGUGGUAGGAUUCUCAGCUAUUUCUCAAGCACCACGUCUGACUGCAUGCUGUCAUGCUCUCUGUCAUGAUGAUAAUGGAAUGAACCUCUGGAACUAAGAAGCAUCCUUAAGCCAAGCCUGGUGGUCCAAGACUGCAAUUCUUGCUACUUAGAAGGCUGAGACAGGAGGAUCCCAACUUCAAUUUCUGACGGAUUCUAGGGCUUUGACGGCAAGAGCCCCCCUGGCUGAUGAUCAUCCUGCAUGCUACCACGGAGUCUGUGGCAAGGCUAAAACAUACUGGAAAAAGAGCAUGGAAAGGGCCACUCUCCAGUCACCUCACGGCAGCCAGGAAGCAGAGAGGAUAACAAGAAGGGGUCAGGGUCAAAGGCACAGCCCCAAUGACCCACUUCCUGCAGCCCGACCUCCCACAGUGUCACACUAAUCUCAUAGGCUGUCCAGCAGAGAAUCCACUUUAUCUGAGUCAACUACUCCUUAGUGGCCACUACUAGAACUGAAGCCACUUUUGUCCCUUCCUGAGGUGUUUCCUGAUUUGUGCUGGCAUUCAAAGGGAGUCUUACCAGCAACAGGAGGAGGAGGAAUGCAUGUUGAAGAACUGUAUGUCCUGGAGAACUGUAUGUCCACUCAUAACUGUCCCAUUCAAAACUGGUCCAACUCAAAUGAGGAACUGCACAUUCCUGCUAUGAAUCAUUUUGUACAACUUCCCCUCCCAUCAGAACAGAGCCUUCUGACCACUGACAGGCUCAAGCCCUGAAAGCAGCCUACAUCACUGCUGACACAAACACAAAGCGUGAGUUAAGUAUUGGAAGAAACAGACCCUAGACCUGACUAUAAAUCUUUUUAACUAUUUUCUGUUUGUUUUGUUUUGUUUGUUUCAAGACAGGGUCUCUCUGUGUACCCCCAGUUGUCUUAAAACUCUGU